rnacentral:rRNA from 1 species
UCGGGAAUUUUGGGCAAUGGGCGAAAGCCUGACCCAGCAACGCCGCGUGAAGGAUGAAGUAUUUCGGUAUGUAAACUUCGAAAGAAUGGGAAGAAUAAAUGACGGUACCAUUUAUAAGCUCCGGCUAACUACGUGCCAGCAGCCGCGGUAAUACGAAGGGUGCGAACGUUAUUCGGAUUUAUUGGGCGUAAAGGGUACGCAGGCGGUGCGUUAAGUCAACUGUUAAAUCUCCCGGCCUAACUGGGAAUCAGCGGUAGAUACUGGCGCACUAGAGGAUGGAAGAGAGAAGUGGAAUUCUUGGAGUAGAGGUAAAAUUCGUAGAUCUCAAGAGGAACACCGAUGGCGAAGGCAGCUCUGGUCCAUUUCUGACGCUCAUGUACGAAAGCGUGGGGAGCAAACAGGAUUAGAUACCCAUGUAGUCCCUGAGCGGGCUGGCAAGGCGCAU